CUACGGGUCGCAGCAGUGAGGAAUAUUGCACAAUGGGGGGAACCCUGAUGCAGCAACGCCGCGUGGAGGAUGACGCAUUUCGGUGUGUAAACUCCUUUUAUAUGUCAAGAAAAUGACGGUAGCAUAUGAAUAAGCACCGGCUAACUCCGUGCCAGCAGCCGCGGUAAUACGGAGGGUGCAAGCGUUACCCGGAAUCACUGGGCGUAAAGGACGCGUAGGCGGGUUGGAAAGUCAGGUGUGAAAUCCUACAGCUUAACUGUAGAGCUGCACUUGAAACUUCUAAUCUAGAGUAUGGGAGGGGGAGAUGGAAUUAGUGGUGUAGGGGUAAAAUCCGUAGAUAUCACUAGGAAUACCUAAAGCGAAGGCGAUCUCCUGGAACAUUACUGACGCUAAGGCGUGAAAGCGUGGGGAGCAAACAGGAUUAGAUACCCUAGUAGUC
rnacentral:rRNA from 1 species